rnacentral:lncRNA from 1 species
UCCUCUAUCUUGGAUAAACUUCUUUUUUAAGAAGACAGUAUGAUGGCUCACAAUCACAUUGUGAUCUUCGAAAAAAUAAAAGUAGUAUCCCAUGAAUUUCUUAGGAUAUCCUAUAAAAUAAGUCCUAAAAGACCUAAUCUCUAACUUGUCUGUCUGCUGUCGCUUGACAUGGGUCGGACAUCUCCAAAUCUUGAGAUACCCA